GUAAAUGCUCUACAAGCCUGCGCAUGGCAUUGGGGGUUAAGCUGCAGCACCAGAGCAUGUGCUUGCCCAGGGUUGCCUGACCCUACUGGCGGCCUUUAACCUCCAGCAAAAAAA
rnacentral:snoRNA from 1 species